GAUUUAGGGUCCGUUCACACAGACCGGCUCGGAGAGCAUCGGCCUGCUUUUUUCUUUUCACACAGACCGGGUCGUAUACGCUUGGAAUUGGCCGGAGCGGAGCCGCCAACUAUUUCACAUCGACCGGCUGGAAGAGAUCUGAAAGCGGGUGCGGUUGGAUGUGCUCGGAGCCGGUCGGAUGCGCUCGGAGUCGGGUGGAUACACUACAAAGGCAGUGCCAGUAUUCCGCGCAGUCUAAGUUUUGUUUUCGGUGUGUUAACGUGUGCUUUUCGAAACAUGGAUUUAGAUAGCUCCGACGAAGAAAUAUAUUUGUUAGCAAGAUUACUUGAAAUAGAACAUAGGAAACGUAAGCGCAAGCGGAAACAAAUAUGGGUAAAACAUAUUUGGAAAAACAGACUAAUCCAUGGGGAGUUUCACACCAUUUUCGAGGAAUUGAAGAGAGAUAGCCUAAAAUUUUAUGAGUAUUAUCGUAUGGAAUAUUGGCAAUUUUUGAAAUUGACAGAUUUGUUAAGAGUACAUAUAACAAAAAAGACUACAAAUUAUCGUUGCACCAUUACAGCCGAAGAAAGGUUAACGGUAACUUUAAGAUUCCUCAUCACUGGUUGCAGUUUCAAAAACUUGUCAUUUAAUUUUCGAAUGGGAAUUUCUACAGUUCAUUCAAUUAUUCAUGAGACAAUCAGAGUAAUUUGUGAUGUUUUGAUGCCCAUAGUUAUGCAGAUGCCAGAUGAAGAAAUGUGGGAAAAGUACAGUGUUACUAGCUGUGGUCGACGCGAAAUACAGUUUUUUAAUUGUUGAUGUCGGAUCAUAUGGUAAAAAUAGCGACGGCGGAAUUUUACAGAAUUCAAAAUUUUGGAAAAAACUCAACACCAAUAAGUUAAAGCUGCCCCCAAAUAAACCUCUACCUAGUACCACUGAAAGCUUACCACAUGUUUUUAUAGGAGACGAGGCAUUUCCUUUGAGCAAUAAUAUAUUGCGGCCGUAUCCAAGAGAACAAGCAAGAACAGAAUUAUCAAAAAAAGUAUUUAAUCUGCGUUUAAGCAGGGCAAGAAAAGUCGUAGAAUGUGCAUUUGGAAUGCUAACUCAAAGAUUUGAAAUUUAUCAAAAACGAAUGAAAAUUCAGCCGAAGUACUGUGAUUUAAUUAUAUUAGCAACUACAUGUUUACAUAAUUUUUUAAUAGAAAAUCGGACGCCAGGACAAGAGAAUGAAUUUCACAGCAAUAUAAAUUUAUUAACAGCAAUAACAGACAAUAAUAAUGAAAACAGUUCUAAUAGCGACGCAGUUCUAACCACAAGGAAUAAAUUUAAGGAUUAUUUUUCAUCAAGUGGUGCUUUAGAUUGGCAAGAUCAAGUGGCUACGCGAGUUUCUUAAGUUAUAUUUAAUAAAAAUUGUCUACUACAUAAGUAUAUUCUAACGAUCAGAUACUCAAACGAGUUUUUAAAGUAAGGGCGCAUUUAAACUCAUGUUAUUCCUAUUUUGACUUUGAAUCUAACACGUCGCAGCACGAGUUUAAGAAGCCCUUGCUUUAAAAUUCGUUUGAGUAUCUGGGGGUAGGUGUAAAACAAUGAAAACCUUACUUACCACUUAUUCCGAGACAUUUGCUAAUUUCCUCCCAUGCAUUGUCUUUCAUUAUCCGAUCGCUAUAUGAUGGCUUGGUUAUGUCAAAUAAACACUCAUAUUUUGA